rnacentral:rRNA from 1 species
GUAGGUGGCAAGCGUUAUCCGGAUUUACUGGGCGUAAAGCGUACGUAGGCGGUGCGGUAAGUCCGUUGUGAAAUCUCCCGGCUCAACUGGGAGGGGUCGAUGGAAACUGCCGGACUUGAGGAGCGUAGACGUGAGCGGAAUUCCCGGUGUAGUGGUGAAAUGCGUAGAUAUCGGGAGGAACACCAGUGGCGAAAGCGGCUCACGAGGCGCCACCUGACGCUGAGGUACGAAAGCGUGGGGAGCGAACCGGAUUAGAUACCCGGGGGUAGUCCACGCCGUAAACGAUGAAUGCUAGACGUGGGGGGUAUCGACCCCCCCCCCCUGUGUCGCAGCUAACGCAUUAAGCAUUCCGCCUGGGGAGUACGGCCGCAAGGCUA